GUCGAGCGCCCGUAGCAAUACGGGAGCGGCAGACGGGUGAGUAACGCGUGGGAACAUGCCCUUCGGUUCGGAAUAACCCAGGGAAACUUGGGCUAAUACCGAAUACGUCCGUGAGGAGAAAGAUUUAUCGCCGGAGGAUUGGCCCGCGUCGGAUUAGCUAGUUGGUGAGGUAACGGCUCACCAAGGCGAUGAUCCGUAGCUGGUCUGAGAGGACGAUCAGCCACACUGGGACUGAGACACGGCCCAGACUCCUACGGGAGGCAGCAGUGGGGAAUAUAGGACAAUGGGCGCAAGCCUGAUCCAGCCAUGCCGCGUGAGUGAUGAAGGCCUUAGGGUUGUAAAGCUCUUUCGGCGGGGACGAUAAUGACGGUACCCGCAGAAGAAGCCCCGGCUAACUUCGCGCCAGCAGCCGCGGUAAUACGAAGGGGGCUAGCGUUGCUCGGAAUCACUGGGCGUAAAGCGCACGUAGGCGGGUCGCUGAGUCGGGGGUGAAAUCCUGGAGCUUAACUCCAGAACUGCCUUCGAUACUGGCGAUCUUCGAGUCCGGGAGAGGUGGGUGGAACUGCGAGUGUAGAGGUGAAAUUCGUAGAUGUUCGCAAGAACACCAGCGGCGAAGGCGGCUCACUGGCCCGGUACUGACGCUGAUGUGCGAAAGCGUGAGGAGCAAACAGGAUUAGAUACCCUGGUAGUCCACGCCGUAUACGAUGGAUGCUACCCGUUGGCAGGCUUGCCUGUCAGUGGCG
rnacentral:rRNA from 1 species